rfam:Eubacterium sp. CAG:252 genomic scaffold, scf57
CUUGAAAGCCGGUUGUGCUGUUUCUUAUACUUUCCCUUAACCCCAUAGAUAUGCGGGUACAAGGAUGUACCCGCACGGUAUCGUCCAAUAAAGAUACCUACAUGGAAAGUAUUAGAAACAGCCAACCGGCUUUCUGG